rnacentral:rRNA from 1 species
AUUGAACGCUGGCGACAUGCCUUACACAUGCAAGUCGAACGGCAGCGGGGGAGAAGCUUGCUUUUCCUGCCGGCGAGUGGCGAACGGGUGAGUAAUACAUCGGAACGUGCCCUGUAGUGGGGGAUAACUAGUCGAAAGAUUAGCUAAUACCGCAUACGACCUGAGGGUGAAAGUGGGGGACCGCAAGGCCUCAUGCUAUAGGAGCGGCCGAUGUCUGAUUAGCUAGUUGGUGGGGUAAAGGCCUACCAAGGCGACGAUCAGUAGCUGGUCUGAGAGGACGAUCAGCCACACGGGGACUGAGACACGGCCCAGACUCCUACGGGGGGCAGCAGUGGGGAAUUUUGGACAAUGGGCGAAAGCCUGAUCCAGCAAUGCCGCGUGUGUGAAGAAGGCCUUCGGGUUGUAAAGCACUUUUGUCCGGAAAGAAAUGGCUCUGGUUAAUACCUGGGGUCGAUGACGGUACCGGAAGAAUAAGGACCGGCUAACUACGUGCCAGCCGCCGCGGUAA